rnacentral:rRNA from 1 species
CCUACGGGUGGCAGCCGUGAGGAAUAUUGGUCAAUGGGCGGACGCCUGAACCAGCCAAGUAGCGUGCAGGAUGACGGCCCUACGGGUUGUAAACUGCUUUUAUACGGGAAUAACGCGCCUUACGUGUAGGGCUUUGCAUGUACCGUAUGAAUAAGGACCGGCUAAUUCCGUGCAAGCAGCCGCGGUAAUACGGAGGGUCCGGGCGUUAGCCGGAUUUAUUGGGUUUAAAGGGAGCGUAGGCCGCAUGUCAAGCGUGCUGUGAAAUGUCCGGGCGCAACCCGGGCCUUGCAGCGCGGACUGGCGUGCUUGAGUCCGCUGAGGGCAGGCGGAAUUCGUCGUGUAGCGGUGAAAUGCUUAGAUAUGACGAAGAACCCCGAUUGCGAAGGCAGCUUGCUGCAGCGGAACUGACGCUGAUGCUCGAAAGCGCGAGUAUCGAACAGGAUUAGAUACCCCAGUAGUC